rnacentral:hammerhead_ribozyme from 1 species
AUCCAGCUGAUGCGUCUCAAAUGGGACGAAACGCGCGUCCUGGAU